rfam:Salmo salar isolate Sally breed double haploid chromosome ssa01, whole genome shotgun sequence.
UGCAUGCAUGACUGUAAGUCACUUUGGAUAAAAGCAUCUGCUAAAUGGCUUAUA